AGCUGGUGAGUAAAGCCUGGCCGAUGAUGAACAGAGAAUCAGGCCUAAACUGGCCACUGUCUGUGUUUCUGUCACAAGCUUUAAAACGUUAUUAACUCAAACUGAAGGAGUUCACAGCAUGUGUUCCAACCUCCUUCAACACACGCUCUGCACUGAUGUCCUCCCUGAAGCCGCAGCCUUCUGUGGGCAGGAGCAGAGGAUGCCAGCGCUUUGUGUUCAAACACCAGGUAUGAAAGAGGCUCGUCGACCUGUUCAUCGACAUUUCAAGCUCCAACUCUGCAGGUGCGAAGAUGUUGGACUCUCUGAACUGUUUUACCUUGAAAAAGCUGGGGAUCUACACCACAAUCAUCGUGAUAUUCACCUACAACAUCUUGCUUAACAGGGAUGUGACGUGCUCCUGUGAAAAACAGGUCACAGAGUGUGGUUUGUACUUCACUCUGCCAGGUAUCAUCGUACUUUUUCUGAUUCUCUGGAUGGACAAGAAGUUUAUAAAAAUCUGCAGAUAUUCAGUAACCGAGUGCACAUGCUGCUACGGAUGGUACAUUGUUUAUCACAGCGUCAAAGCUACUUUCAUUGCUCUGCUGUGGAUUGUGACCUUGUUGAUUGAUGGAGACUGGUACGUUUGUUGUAGCAACUUCACUAAUCAGACCAUGUUAGCUUGUAUAAACGAAAAGAUGACGCCGACGGAACAAAGAGCCUUCGUUGAGCUGAAAAAUACAUCAAGAAUCAUCGGCUUUGGUGUGUUCUUGGGCAUCGUUGUUAUUAUGUUUGUAAUGUCGGUUUGUCACCAAAGUAAACGCUGCAACAAAAAGAAUGGCAAAAAGUACAUGUUUGACUACCUGGUUCUGAAAGAGGAGAACAACGUCCUGAAAGAGAAACUGAAAGCAAAAGUAGUAGAAGCUCUGACUGAAGCCUUCGACGCUGAAACGGGGGAGGACAGAUGGGUAAAAUACAGUGAAGUUGCUAAAGAGCUGAUUAAUCAGACAGAAGCAACACGUGAGCAGCCUCCUGCAGCGCAGGAUCCUGGAUCACGUUCCCAAUCAUCACAGCAACAGCAAGGACUUCAACAAGAGCCACCAGCAGAAGCCCAGGAAUUCAAGGAUAAAGGUGAUACCGAUGACUGGUUUGGAGCCACAGGCCCAAUUGAUGAUGAAAAUGAUCAACGUUUGUGAAAGUCUCUCCAGUGGAAGUGCCGUCCUGGAACCCUGAGACAGGAAACAUUCCACCAGCUUGUGGAGAGUCUCCUCAAGAAAGAGUAAAGUCCAUGUUGAUGAUGGAAGGACCGUAAUAACAUCUGCAACAAUCAAGCUGGAGUUUACUGGUCUCUAUUACGUCUCUAUUGUAUUGUUAUUCAUAUUACAAUUGUUGACAUUGCAUUUUUCCUCUGUGUGCUACGUUUGAGAAAUUGACAGGUUUUAUUUGUAUUUUCAUCAUUAUCUACAUUUCUCACUUUUACUCAGAAUCCAAAUCAGAAGGAGCUUUAUUGCCAGGUCCUGUAGAGUGCACGUUACACAACUAGGAGCUUGUCUUGGUGUUGGGACACACAGGCAGCCGUCUACGGCGCCACGUCCCAUCUGACAGUGGAAGCAGGUUGUGGGACAAAACAAAACAAUACAAAAACACACGCACACACAGUACAUGUGGAAACCUUGAAGGAUUUUUUUCUUGGAUACAUCAGGACAGAAAGAUAAGGUCGGAGAGCAAAAACAUACAUCUACUAAUGACAAACGAAUGAGUUAGAUUAACGCAGUUCAAAGGUCACACUAUAAAGUGACAACAGUUUAUGGAGUGUGUAUUUACAGCAGCUGGGAAUUCACAAGAUGAUUUUAAUGUGAGAGCAGCAGAUUUCCCCCUCAUCCUGGUGUCUGCAUCACCACCUGGUGGAGAAGUCUGACUUCAGAAAUACACAUUCUGACAAAUUUAGCUGGUGACGCUUUUAUUUAAAUACGUUAUUUGAUCAUUUAGUGACACCCAGACCUUUUAUGUUUAAAUCUUUUGUAUUAAUAUAGUAUAUUAUUACCUGUAUCAUAUUUAUCUAAUCACCAAGUAACAAGUAAUAUGAUUUUUUAAUGACAAGAAAACAGCAAAAAACUAAUCUUAAUAAACUAAUUGGAAAGUUUGGCUAGGAUAGCCAGCACGCUAUGCUAAAGUAGGCAGCAGGCUAUGCUAGGAUAGCCAGCACGCUAUGCUAGGAUAGCCAGCACGCUAUGCUAAAAUAGCCAGCACGCUAUGCUAGGAUAGCUGGCAUGCUAUUUCAUCAUAAUACCGUUCUCCUCUUGACAAAGUAACGUAAGUUGUUUCAACGUAACAGAACCAUAUGGGGUGCCGAAUGUAAAAAGAGCACCUAUAACUAGUUUUCUCACAUUUAACUAAAUGACACAACAUGUUUUCUUACAUUUAGGUAAAUGUGCAAAAGUCUAAGUCUAUGUAAAUGUUUAAUGUUCAAUGUAAAUGUUAAAUGUUAAAUGUAAAUGUUAAAUGUUAAAUGUUCGCCGAGUGAAAAACUGAAUAUGAAUAAAACUGGAACGGGAGGGAGUCGGA